rnacentral:rRNA from 1 species
UACAGAGGGGGCAAGCGUUGUUCGGAAUUACUGGGCGUAAAGGGCGCGUAGGCGGCCUUCUAAGUCGAACGUGAAAUCCCUCGGCUUAACCGGGGAACUGCGUCUGAUACUGGAUGGCUUGAGUUUGGGAGAGGGAUGCGGAAUUCCAGGUGUAGCGGUGAAAUGCGUAGAUAUCUGGAGGAACACCGGUGGCGAAGGCGGCAUCCUGGACCAACACUGACACUGAGGAGCGAAAGCGUGGGGAGCAAACAGG